rnacentral:ncRNA from 1 species
UUGGGUCAUCGGUGGAAAAAUCUGGAGUUCUUCCAGGUCUUUUGACUGAGGACCAAA